GUGUGUAAAUUGUGAACCCUUGUAAAGGUAUUGAGGAAAUAGGGUCCUAUUCGCAAAAUAACAACUAUAAAUUACAUAAUUUUUCCAUCUGCAGUGCGUUUGAUUUGUCCGAUAAUGGAAUACACCAUUGAGCCCAGCAUUAACGUGCAAACUGAGUAGGUAGAUAUGCGUUCCAGUAUCGCUUAUGGGUGGAACGCAUGACAACAUCCGGUAAUGACGCGGUGCGCUCCACAGGUGAUGCGGUUGGAACGCAAAGCGGGGAGAUCCGCGGCAGACGUGCCAAAUGAGAUCUUAAAACUUCCCAGCCCCAAUACGUCUCUCCCUGGGCUUAACAUACAUUCCCCCUCUCUGGGCUUAAUCAAUCCCAUUAGGUUAACUGAUGAUGUUAUAUACAUUCAUCUCAGUUACAGGAAGUACGCACUAGGCGGAAGUCCAUGCGUUCCACCAUGAUCUAGGUGGAACGCAGGACGAAAGCCUGCUAUUUAAGUUGUUAUAUGAACAUUAAGGUCAUUUUUUAAGACCUAUAUGGAUGACAAUUUCAUGCUGUACAGAGCAUAGGGUAGAUUUCCCAUGCUACACCUUGGAUAUACACUUAUUUAGAUCUAUUCGAUCAACCAAUCAUUAGAGCAUAGGAAGUGAGGUAAUUCACUCCUAGGUAUAAAUAGGCCAGAUAUAGCCUCUCCAGUUCACUUACCAUCCAGGAGAGGAGGCUGACACACAUCCAGAACCUUUUAGUCUGCUUUCCUCACUGGACAUUCUGUUUGGUGUUAUUGGCUUGACUUUAAAAUCCCUUGUGAACUUUCAUUAAUCUUGGAGGACACAAUCUAAUUGGUCAUUUGCCCCAUAAUUAAAUAAAGUACCUACAAGGAACCACAAUUAAGGAGCAGCUGAUUAGAAGUUCACGAGAGUUUUUAGUAUCAUUAUAGAUAUAUAUCACGUUUUAACACUCUUCACAGUGAGAUCAUCUUGUAGGAAAUUUGCUAAAGCAUUAUUCCACUGUGACUUGUACCCCUGAUGAAGUCCAUAAUGGACGAAACGCGUUGGGUUUUAUGAGAUAUAUAUAGCAUACACUGUUUCUGCAUAAAUGUGUAUUGUGCUUAUGGAACAACGUGUAUGACAAAUUUUAACGUGUAUUAAAAAUAAUCUUUCUAUCAUUCCGGUUAUGCUGGUUGGAUUUUACUUUGAGUAAUUAUUUCAAUUUUAAUUAUGCCAUUGUAUCUGUGCGCACUCUGAAUAUUUGUGUUAUAUUUUAUCUAUCGUCUCCCAC